rnacentral:rRNA from 1 species
AGUGAACGCUGGCGGUAGGCCUAACACAUGCAAGUCGAACGGCGGCACAGUAAGAGCUUGCUCUUACGGGUGGCGAGUGGCGGACGGGUGAGGAAUACAUCGGAAUCUACUUUUUCGUGGGGGAUAACGUAGGGAAACUUACGCUAAUACCGCAUACGACCUACGGGUGAAAGCAGGGGAUCUUCGGACCUUGCGCGAUUGAAUGAGCCGAUGUCGGAUUAGCUAGUUGGCGGGGUAAAGGCCCACCAAGGCGACGAUCCGUAGCUGGUCUGAGAGGAUGAUCAGCCACACUGGAACUGAGACACGAUCCAGACUCCUACGGGAGGCAGCAGUGGGGAAUAUUGGACAAUGGGCGCAAGCCUGAUCCAGCCAUACCGCGUGGGUGAAGAAGGCCUUCGGGUUGUAAAGCCCUUUUGUUGGGAAAGAAAAGCAGCAGGUUAAUACCCCGCUGUUCUGACGGUACCCAAAGAAUAAGCACCGGCUAACUUCGUG